rnacentral:rRNA from 1 species
CCUACGGGAGGCAGCAGUGGGGAAUUUUGGACAAUGGGCGAAAGCCUGAUCCAGCCAUGCCGCGUGAGUGAAGAAGGCCUUCGGGUUGUAGAGCUCUUUCAGCCGGAAAGAAAUCGCGCAGACUAAUACUCUGCGUGGAUGACGGUACCGGAAGAAGAAGCACCGGCUAACUACGUGCCAGCAGCCGCGGUAAUACGUAGGGUGCGAGCGUUAAUCGGAAUUACUGGGCGUAAAGCGUGCGCAGGCGGUUAUAUAAGACAGAUGUGAAAUCCCCGGGCUCAACCUGGGAACUGCGUUUGUGACUGUAUGACUAGAGUACGGCAGAGGGAGGUGGAAUUCCGCGUGUAGCAGUGAAAUGCGUAGAUAUGCGGAGGAACACCGAUGGCGAAGGCAGCCUCCUGGGCCAGUACUGACGCUCAGUNCGAAGACGUGGGGAGGAGACAACGAGUAGUAGUACUACGUACGUACGUACCGACCGUAACCGUAACGUAGUCGUACUAACGUUAGUUCGGUUCGGUAGGUAGGACGUACUACUAGUAGUAACGUACGACGACGACGUACGUACGUAGUAGUACGACCCGCCGGUACGGGUACGGUACCGGACCGACGUAAACGGUUAAAACGUUAAAGGUUAAGUAGGUACGGACGAGAGACGACGACGGACGGACGACGACGGAGGGAGGAGG